rnacentral:rRNA from 1 species
GAUGAACGCUGGCGGCGUGCCUAAUACAUGCAAGUCGAGCGAACAGACGAGGAGCUUGCUCCUCUGACGUUAGCGGCGGACGGGUGAGUAACACGUGGAUAACCUACCUAUAAUACUGGGAUAACUUCGGGAAACCGGAGCUAAUACCGGAUAAUAUAUUGAACCGCAUGGUUCAAUAGUGAAAGACGGUUUUGCUGUCACUUAUAGAUGGAUCCGCGCCGCAUUAGCUAGUUGGUAAGGUAACGGCUUACCAAGGCAACGAUGCGUAGCCGACCUGAGAGGGUGAUCGGCCACACUGGAACUGAGGCACGGUCCAGACUCCUACGGGAGGCAGCAGUAGGGAAUCUUCCGCAAUGGGCGAAAGCCUGACGGAGCAACGCCGCGUGAGUGAUGAAGGUCUUCGGAUCGUAAAACUCUGUUAUUAGGGAAGAACAAAUGUGUAAGUAACUAUGCACGUCUUGACGGUACCUAAUCAGAAAGCCACGGCUAACUACGUG